rnacentral:rRNA from 1 species
UGGGGAAUAUUGGACAAUGGGCGAAAGCCUGAUCCAGCCAUGCCGCGUGUGUGAAGAAGGUCUUCGGAUUGUAAAGCACUUUAAGUUGGGAGGAAGGGCAUUAACCUAAUACGUUAGUGUUUUGACGUUACCGACAGAAUAAGCACCGGCUAAAUCUGUGCCAGCAGCCGCGGUAAUACAGAGGGUGCAAGCGUUAAUCGGAAUUACUGGGCGUAAAGCGCGCGUAGGUGGUUUGUUAAGUUGGAUGUGAAAUCCCCGGGCUCAACCUGGGAACUGCAUUCAAAACUGACUGACUAGAGUAUGGUAGAGGGUGGUGGAAUUUCCUGUGUAGCGGUGAAAUGCGUAGAUAUAGGAAGGAACACCAGUGGCGAAGGCGACCACCUGGACUAAUACUGACACUGAGGUGCGAAAGCGUGGGGAGCAAACA